GGCCGCCUGGCUUAAUGGCAACGCGUCUGACUACGAAUCAGGAGAUUGCAGGUUCGACCCCUGCGGUGGUCA
rnacentral:tRNA from 1 species